UAUAUAUAUAGUGUAAGAAGCACAUUAAAAUUUGAUAUUAAAAGAUUUAGUUUAAUUCUAAAUAUUAUAA
rnacentral:tRNA from 1 species